rnacentral:rRNA from 1 species
GAGAGUAACUGUUCAUACGUUGACGGUAGUUACCUAGAAAGUACACGGCUAACUACGUGCCAGCAGCCGCGGUAAUACGUAGGUGGCAAGCGUUAUCCGGAUUAUUGGCGUAAGAGAGUGCAGGCGGUUUCUUAAGUCUGAUGUGAAAGACCUUCGGCUUAACCGGUACGAAGUAGCAUCGGAAACUAGGAUAACUUGAGUGCAGAAGAGGGUAGUGGAACUCCAUGUGUAGCGGUGGAAUGCGUAGAUAUAUGGAAGAACACCAGUGGCGAAGGCGGCUACCUGGUCUGCAACUGACGCUGAGACUCGAAAGCAUGGGUAGCGAACAGGAUUAGAUACCCUGGUAG